rnacentral:rRNA from 1 species
CCUACGGGAGGCAGCAGUGGGGAAUUUUGGACAAUGGGCGCAAGCCUGAUCCAGCAAUGCCGCGUGAGUGAAGAAGGCCUUCGGGUUGUAAAGCUCUUUUGUCAGGGAAGAAACGGUGAGCUCUAAUACAGUUUGCUAAUGACGGUACCUGAAGAAUAAGCACCGGCUAACUACGUGCCAGCAGCCGCGGUAAUACGUAGGGUGCAAGCGUUAAUCGGAAUUACUGGGCGUAAAGCGUGCGCAGGCGGUUUUGAAGUCUGUCGUGAAAUCCCCGGGCUCAACCUGGGAAUGGCGAUGGAGACUGCAAGGCUAGAGUUUGGCAGAGGGGGGUAGAAUUCCACGUGUAGCAGUGAAAUGCGUAGAUAUGUGGAGGAACACCGAUGGCGAAGGCAGCCCCCUGGGUCAAAACUGACGCUCAUGCACGAAAGCGUGGGGAGCAAACAGGAUUAGAUACCCUGGUAGUCCACGCCCUAAACGAUGUACUAAUAGUUGUCGGUACUUAAUGACUUGGUAACGCAGCUAACGCGUGAGUAGACCGCCGNGGAGGUACGGUCGCGAGAAGUUAAACGUAACAAAGUAGUAAGUUAGUACGGCGUGGACGUCGACCGACGGACGACGACGAGGGAGGAGG